GAUGAACGCUGGCGGCGUGCCUAAUACAUGCAAGUCGAGCGAACAGACGAGGAGCUUGCUUCUCUGACGUUAGCGGCGGACGGGUGAGUAACACGUGGAUAACCUACCUAUAAGACUGGGAUAACUUCGGGAAACCGGAGCUAAUACCGGAUAAUAUAUUGAACCGCAUGGUUCAAUAGUGAAAGACGGUUUUGCUGUCACUUAUAGAUGGAUCCGCGCCGCAUUAGCUAGUUGGUAAGGUAACGGCUUACCAAGGCAACGAUGCAUAGCCGACCUGAGAGGGUGAUCGGCCACACUGGAACUGAGACACGGUCCAGACUCCUACGGGAGGCAGCAGUAGGGAAUCUUCCGCAAUGGGCGAAAGCUUGACGGAGCAACGCCGCGUGAGUGAUGAAGGUCUUCGGAUCGUAAAACUCUGUUAUUAGGGAAGAACAAAUGUGUAAGUAACUAUGCACGUCUUGACGGUACCUAAUCAGAAAGCCACGGCUAACUACGUG
rnacentral:rRNA from 1 species